rnacentral:sRNA from 1 species
GAGACAAAAUUAUUGUGAGACAAAAUUGACUUUUGUGAGACAAAAUUGACAAUAUUGAAUUUUGUCUCACAAAAGUCAAUUUUGUCUCACAAAAGUCAAUUUUGUCUCACAAAAGUU